rnacentral:rRNA from 1 species
GUGCCAGCAGCCGCGGUAAUACCAGCUCCCCGAGUGGUCAGGACGAUUAUUGGGCCUAAAGCAUCCGUAGCCUGCUCAGUAGGUCUCAUGUUAAAUCCACCGGCUCAACCGUUGGUCUGCAUGGGAUACCGCUGGGCUAGGAGGCGGGAGAGGCGGACGGUAUUCCUUGGGUAGGGGUAAAAUCCUUUGAUCCAGGGAGGACCACCAGUGGCGAAGGCGGUCCGCCAGAACGCGCUCGACGGUGAGGGAUGAAAGCUGGGGGAGCGAACCGGAUUAGAAACCCUCGUAGUCC